rnacentral:rRNA from 1 species
UUAGCGGCGGACGGGUGAGUAACGCGUGGGAACAUACCCUUUGGUACGGAAUAGCCUCGGGAAACUGGGAGUAAUACCGUAUGUGCCCUUCGGGGGAAAGAUUUAUCGCCAAAGGAUUGGCCCGCGUUGGAUUAGGUAGUUGGUGGGGUAAUGGCCUACCAAGGCAACGAUCCAUAACUGGUCUGAGAGGACGGCCAGUCACACUGGGACUGAGACACGGCCCAGACUCC